UCCUGGUUUCCCAGGCAGUCCCACCAGAGUGCUUCGCCGAAGCGACUAGCAACUGAUAGCAAGGGUUGCGCUCGUUAAAGGACUUAACCCAACAUCUCACGACACGAGCUGACGACAGCCAUGCAGCACCUGUGAAUUUGUCUGAACCGAAAUCCAGAAGACUGUGUUUCCACAGCUAUCAAAAACAUGUCAAGCCUAGGUAAGGUUCCUCGCGUAUCGUCGAAUUAAACCACAUGUUCCACCGCUUGUGCGGGCCCCCGUCAAUUUCUUUGAGUUUUAAUCUUGCGAUCGUACUCCCCAGGCGGAUCACUUAACGCGUUAGCUACGACACUAAUCCUGUAAAAACAAGACUAACGUCUAGUGAUCAUCGUUUACAGCGUGGACUAC
rnacentral:misc_RNA from 1 species